rnacentral:rRNA from 1 species
AACGAACGCUGGCGGCAGGCUUAACACAUGCAAGUCGAGCGCCCCGCAAGGGGAGCGGCAGACGGGUGAGUAACGCGUGGGAAUCUACCCAUCUCUACGGAAUAACGCAUGGAAACGUGUGCUAAUACCGUAUACGUCCUUCGGGAGAAAGAUUUAUCGGAGAUGGAUGAGCCCGCGUUGGAUUAGCUAGUUGGUGGGGUAAAGGCCUACCAAGGCGACGAUCCAUAGCUGGUCUGAGAGGAUGAUCAGCCACACUGGGACUGAGACACGGCCCAGACUCCUACGGGAGGCAGCAGUGGGGAAUAUUGGACAAUGGGCGCAAGCCUGAUCCAGCCAUGCCGCGUGAGUGAUGAAGGCCCUAGGGUUGUACAGCUCUUUCACCGGUGAAGAUAAUGACGGUAACCGGAGAAGAAGCCCCGGCUAACUUCGUGCCAGCCGCCGCAGUAA